rnacentral:rRNA from 1 species
AACGAACGCUGGCGGCAUGCCUAACACAUGCAAGUCGAACGAGACCUUCGGGUCUAGUGGCGCACGGGUGCGUAACGCGUGGGAACCUGCCCUUAGGUUGGGAAUAACUCCCCGAAAGGGGUGCUAAUACCGGAUAAUGUCUUCGGACCAAAGAUUUAUCGCCUUUGGAUGGUCCCGCGUUGGAUUAGCUAGUUGGUAGGGUAAAAGCCUACCAAGGCGACGAUCCAUAGCUGGUCUGAGAGGAUGAUCAGCAACACUGGGACUGAGACACGGCCCAGACUCCUACGGGAGGAAGCAGUGGGGAAUAUUGGACAAUGGGCGAGAGCCUGAUCCAGCAAUGCCGCGUGAGUGAUGAAGGACUUAGGGUUGUAAAGCUCUUUUACCCGGGAUGAUAAUGACAGUACCGGGAGAAUAAGCUCCGGCUAACUCCGUG